UUCAGGUUGUCUGGCUCCAGGAAUCCUCCCAUCUCUGUCAUCUCGGUACUGGGAUUGCAGAGGUUUGCUGCCACGCCUGGGUUUUUAUGUGUGUUAUAGGGAUAUGAACUCAGGCCUUCAUGCCUGCAUUACAAGUACUUACUUUAUAAACUGAACUGCCCCUCCAGUCCUUCACUUUCAUUUUUGAAAACAAUUAAGUACUCAUAAAUAUUUAUAAUGCAAUGUUCUCAAUAUUUAGCACUGAGGACAUAAAGCUGGAUCUGCUUCAGAUCGAUGCUGGUGAUGGCUGACAACGCUUUUGAGGAGGGAGCCGUAGACUAGAACUCUUUCUAGGAAACACCAGAAAUGUCAGGGAUCCUGAAAGAGAAACAGGGGGGCGGCUUCAUCAAGCCUUGUCUUUACACAUGUCUUAGGUAUUGUUGUUCUUUAACUGAGUACCUCAUAGCCAAACAGAUUAAGUUAGUUUUAAAUUAAAGCCAGAUCAGAUAAGACUAGGGACAAUAUAAAAUAAAUUAACUUCAUUUUAACUUUUACUCCCGAGAAAUCAACGGUAUUUCCUUUAAGAUCAUUUCUUAUCAUUUUCUUCAAAAGUAAUCAAGAACAUAACCAUCGGUUAAGACAGACCUUUAUUUAUGGCACACAAUUGUCUGCUCUGUUGAGUCUUGAAGGAUUGCUUGGUUGAUCUCAGGUUAAGUUUACAAAUGCCUAGAAAAGUAUGUACUAAAGGUAAAAUAUAUCCGAAGACAAAGAAAUCAAACCUCUUUGAUGAUCCACAAAAUAUUCAAUUAUAUAUCAGGGGCUCUUGUUUAUAAUGAAAUUAUGUUAAAGAAUUUGUAAUCAGAGCCAGAAGAUGGCUCUGUGAGAAGAGCUACUUGUCGACAAGCCUGAUGUUCUAAGUUCCAUCACUCAUGUGGUGGGAGGAGAGACUUGACUCCACAAACAUACUGUGACUGUGGGUAGGUGCACAUGUGAUCAUGUGCGCACACACACACAUGCACACACACACACACAAUCUUGGAGAAAUGCAAUGAAAACAACAAUUUUCAUUGGCGAUGUCCAUAUAAAUCCCAGUGAUUUGUAUUAUCCAUGCCAAGGAAAUUUUGUUUUCAUUCACUUGAAAAAAUUCUCAAUCUGCCCACCGUGCACACUAUUUAGCCCAGGCCUCUAAGCUUAUGUAGCUGAGGGUGGCCUUGAAUUUCUGAUCCUACUGCCUCCAUCUCUCAAGCACUGAGAUGAAAGGCAUGUGUUGCCAUGCCUGGCUUGUCCUUUUGAAAAUUCUGAACUCUAGUUCAUCUCUGGUCAGUUGCAGCAGGUUCUAAAUGAAUGCGCAAAGCAGCUCAUAGCUCCUGGUGGGUCUUUACAUGCACAAUAUACUGAAAAUUAUAAAAGCCACUGUGUGAAGAUGUUAGUUCCUGAAUAUAUCUUUUGUUCUUCCUAAGUGCAGGCAAUGUUUUCCACUGAAUAUUUUACUGAUAUAAGAGAAGGAAAUGGAAGGGAGAAAGAUGAAUUUUAUGAGUUAUGAAUUGCAUAAAAAGUCCUGGACUAGACAUUCCAAAAUAGCUACUUAUACCUAGAAAAAGACUUCUCCAUUGUGAUUUUACAAGGACACAACUAAAAACAACACUAACUCUGAAGACUGCAAGAGAAAUUUAGAAGGAAUGAAAACAUCAGAGGGGGUAAGAGUGGUUUUCCAUAUUCACAUUUAUUUCUCAGAAAGUAGGAUUGUCCUUGUCAAAUGUCAAACGGUGGUAUUUUACUACUGCAAAUAUUGUAUGUUUAAAUAAUUUUUUUUGGUCUGGAGUUUUAUUUACU
rnacentral:lncRNA from 1 species